GUGAGGAAUUUUCCGCAAUGGGCGAAAGCCUGACGGAGCAAUGCCGCGUGAAGGAUGAAGGCCUAUGGGUUGUAACCUUCUUUUCUCAGCAAAGAAUUAUGACGGUAUCUGAGGAAUAAGCAUCGGCUAACUCUGUGCCAGCAGUCGCGGUACGACAGAGGAUGCAAGCGUUAUCCGGAAUGACUGGGCGUAAAGCGUCUGUAGGUUGUUUAAAAAGUAUUCUGUCAAAGAUUAGGGCUUAACCCUAGAUAGGCAGAAUAAACUUUUAAGCUAGAGUUUGGUAGAGGCAGAGGGAAUUCCCGGUGGAGCGGUGAAAUGCGUAGAUAUCGGGAGGAACACCAAAGGCGAAGGCACUCUGCUGGGCCAAUACUAACACUGAGAGCCGAAAGCGAGGGGAGCAAAUGGGAUUAGAUACCCCGGUAGUCC
rnacentral:rRNA from 1 species